UACGGAGGGGGCGAGCGUUAUUCGGAAUUAUUGGGCGUAAAGGGCGCGUAGGCGGCCCGGUAAGUCAAAGGUGAAAUCCCUCGGCUCAACUGAGGAACUGCCUUUGAAACUGUCGGGCUUGAGGCCGGGAGGGGUAGCGGAAUUCCCAGUGUAGCGGUGAAAUGCGUAAAUAUUGGGAGGAACACCGGUGGCGAAGGCGGCUACCUGGACCGGUUCUGACGCUGAUGCGCGAAAGCGUGGGGAGCGAACAGGACUUAGAA
rnacentral:rRNA from 1 species